rnacentral:lncRNA from 1 species
UCAUGUAUGAUGACUUACAACUCCUGCACUUGAGAGACAACCGAUUUGCUAUCUAUCAUUUUAAAGUCCAGGAACCGUGCAACAAGGAAUUUCUUAAUUCCCGCAUCCUCUGUUUUAUAUUUUCGUUCAAGUGCCCCCCAUAAUUUCUUCGAUGUCUUAGUUCCACUGUAAACAUUGUAGAGGUCGUCUUGGAGACCACUCAGAAUAUAAUUCCUGCAAAGGAAGUCUGAAUGUUUCCAAGCUUCUACAAUUAUGAAACACUCUUUGUUCGAG